AUACGGAGGAUGCAAGCGUUAUCCGGAUUUAUUGGGUUUAAAGGGUGCGUAGGCUGUUCGACAAGUCAGGGGUGAAAGCCCAGUGCCUAACACUGGAACUGCCUUUGAUACUGCCGAGCUGGAAUACGGAUGCCGUGGGAGGAAUGAGUAGUGUAGCGGUGAAAUGCAUAGAUAUUACUCAGAACACCGAUUGCGAAGGCAUCUCACGAAUCCGUCAUUGACGCUGAGGCACGAAAGCGUGGGGAUCAAACAGGAUUAGAUACCCUGGUAGUCCACGCAGUAAACGAUGAUAACUAACCGUCGGCGAUACACAGUCGGUGGCCAAGCGAAAGCGAUAAGUUAUCCACCUGGGGAGUACGUUCGCAAGAAUGAAACUCAAAUGAAUUGACGGGG
rnacentral:rRNA from 1 species